UUUGUUUUCUAAUGGGGCAGCCUUGCCUCCCUCCAGCAAUGACUAAACUGGAUUUAAGCAGCGUACACAAUGUUCUGAGUUUUCAGGGCUGAGCCAGCUAAUACUUUCGGUCAUGCUGAACAUACCAUCCUUCUGUAGAGAUCAACUAGUCCCUGAGGUCCCUGGGAGGAACAUGAAUCUCUCCUCAUAAGUCUGCAUAUUUCCCGUCUCUGCUCCCUUAAGGUCUCUGACUUCCAGCCAGGGAGGACAGAUUGUCUAGAGGCUGUUGCAGGCUCAGCACCCACAGGUGGAACCAGUUUUUCAAGAGUGCCAACGCAUGCCUAACAAAUUCAAGGCUUAUUUCCCAAAUGUUUCCAAUGGGACAAUGAUGCUUGUUUGGCAUCCAGAAGACGUGCUCAUAACGGGACAUUUGAACUCCUUGUGUAGCUGUUUACUUCAUGGGCCCAUUUACCUUGUCUUCACUGGUGAUGUCUGCUGAUCUAAUGUCCCAUAUUUUAAAAUAUUUUUGGUAUAUCUGUAAGACAAAACAGAAGUGCUCAAAGCAGUGCACAGCACUCUAAGAAGUGGAUAGAUCAGAUAUGCUUCAGUAGGGCAAACAGCUUUUAUUACAGACUAAAUAGUUUAGGAUUAUUCCAGCCAAGAGGCAAGCUGAAAUAGAUGAAUGGAUUGUCCCACUGCUGCUCCAUCAUGCUCAGAUGACAUUCUAAAACUUCCCAGAAACCAGUGCUUUCCUGAGCUGUGCCAGGGACUGUGGAAAGGUUUGUGGAGGAACUUUCACCUUUGUAACUUAGCAAAGGAGUUAUGUGAAUGCUAGCACUCCCGUGCUCAGAUCUUAAACCAAUUUAGUGCAUUUAACUGCUGCUAAACUGGUUCAUGACACCAGAUCUAAGUGCCUGGAAUCCCUUGUUGCAGAGAUGACAUCUUCCAUACGUAAAUUUAUACAAUGUAUCUAUUCGGCUUAUUGCUAAUAAAAAAUUUUACAGGCA